UACGUAGGGUGCAAGCGUUGUCCGGAAUUAUUGGGCGUAAAGAGCUCGUAGGCGGUCUGUCGCGUCGGCUGUGAAAACCCGGGGCUCAACCCCGGGCCUGCAGUCGAUACGGGCAGACUAGAGUGCGGUAGGGGAGACUGGAAUUCCUGGUGUAGCGGUGAAAUGCGCAGAUAUCAGGAGGAACACCGAUGGCGAAGGCAGGGUCUCUGGGCCACUACUGACGCUGAGAAGCGAAAGCAUGGGGAGCGAACAGG
rnacentral:rRNA from 1 species